rnacentral:rRNA from 1 species
AUUGAACGCUGGCGGCAUGCCUUACACAUGCAAGUCGAACGGUAACAGGUCUUCGGAUGCUGACGAGUGGCGAACGGGUGAGUAAUACAUCGGAACGUGCCCGAUCGUGGGGGAUAACGAAGCGCAAGCUUUGCUAUCACCGCAUAAGAUCUACGGAUGAAAGCAGGGGACCGCAAGGCCUUGCGCGAACGGAGCGGCCGAUGGCAGAUUAGGGAGUUGGUGGGAUAAAAGCUUACCAAGCCGACGAUCUGUAGCUGGUCUGAGAGGACGACCACCCACCCUGGGACUGAGACACGGCCCAGACUCCUACGGGAGGCAGCGGUAGGUAAUUUUGGACAAUGAGCGAAAGCCUGACCCAGCCAUGCCGCGUGCAGGAUGAAGGACUACGGGUUGCGAACUUGUUUUGUACGGAACGAAAAGACUCUUUCUAAUAAUGAGGGUCCAUGACGGUACCGUAAGAAUAAGCACCGGCUAACUACGUGCCAGCAGCCGCAGUAA